UACGAAGGGUGCAAGCGUUAAUCGGAAUUACUGGGCGUAAAGCGCGCGUAGGUGGUUUGAUAAGUUGGAUGUGAAAGCCCCCGGGCUCAACCUGGGAAUUGCAUCCAAAACUGUCUGACUAGAGUAUGGCAGAGGGUGGUGGAAUUUCCUGUGUAGCGGUGAAAUGCGUAGAUAUAGGAAGGAACACCAGUGGCGAAGGCGACCACCUGGGCUAAUACUGACACUGAGGUGCGAAAGCGUGGGGAGCAAACAGGAUUAGAUACCCGCGUAGU
rnacentral:rRNA from 1 species